UACGAAGGGGGCUAGCGUUGUUCGGAAUUACUGGGCGUAAAGCGUAUGCAGGCGGAUCGUUAAGUCGGGGGUGAAAUCCCGAGGCUCAACCUCGGAACUGCCUUCGAUACUGGCGAUCUUCGAGUCCGGGAGAGGUGAGUGGAACUCCGAGUGUAGAGGUGAAAUUCGUAGAUAUUCGGAAGAACACCAGUGGCGAAGGCGGCUCACUGGGCACCACCUGACGCUGAGGCGCGAAAGCGUGGGGAGCGAACCGG
rnacentral:rRNA from 1 species